AUACGUAGGUGGCAAGCGUUGUCCGGAAUUAUUGGGCGUAAAGCGCGCGCAGGUGGUUCCUUAAGUCUGAUGUGAAAGCCCCCGGCUCGACCGGGGAGGGUCAUUGGAAACUGGGGAACUUGAGUGCAGAAGAGGAUAGUGGAAUUCCAAGUGUAGCGGUGAAAUGCGUAGAGAUUUGGAGGAACACCAGUGGCGAAGGCGACUGUCUGGUCUGUAACUGACACUGAGGCGCGAAAGCGUGGGGAGCAAACAGGAUUAGAUACCCUGGUAGUCCACGCCGUAAACGAUGAGUGCUAAGUGUUGGGGGGUUUCCGCCCCUCAGUGCUGCAGCUAACGCAUUAAGCACUCCGCCUGGGGAGUACGGUCGCAAGACUGAAACUCAAAGGAAUUGACGGGG
rnacentral:rRNA from 1 species